UACGUAGGGUGCGGGCGUUAAUCGGAAUUACUGGGCGUAAAGUGUGCGCAGGCGGCUUCGCAAGUCGAGUGUGAAAUCCCCGAGCUUAACUUGGGAAUUGCGCUCGAAACUACGGAGCUGGAGUGUGGCAGAGGAAGGUGGAAUUCCACGUGUAGCGGUGAAAUGCGUAGAGAUGUGGAGGAACACCGAUGGCGAAGGCAGCCUUCUGGGCCAACACUGACGCUCAUGCACGAAAGCGUGGGGAGCAAACAGG
rnacentral:rRNA from 1 species